AGGAGACCUUCAGAGAAGAGCUCAAUCUCAGUUAAGGUUAAAGGUGUGACUUGCCUUGUUGAGUCUCAAUUUAUAUCAAACCACGACUUUCUUGAGGAGGAGUUGAAGGCAUGGUGGCGGAGCGCAGGGAAAAGUGCCGAAAGAAGCGGCUGCGAGGGCAUCCCAUCGGCAGAGGAACUUAGUCGGAAAAUUCAGCAGAGAAAGAUGUUAAAUAGAUAAUACUUGUUUGAGGAGCAAAGGUUUUUGCUUAAUAGGUUUUACGUUUACACGUGUAUUUUUUAGUUUUGUUAAAAAAGAGAGUGUACAAUUUCUUGCUAAUGCAGAGGGCAUCGAAUGUCUCAAACCAGGCAACAAUCUAAAACUGGAUGUCCAAUCUAUUUAGAUUUGCGAGUUUUAUGUGUAUAGUCUAUGUGAAGGA